GACAGAGGGGCAAGCGUUGCUCGGAAUCACUGGGCGUAAAGGGCGCGUAGGCGGCGCGAGUAGUCAACGGUGAAAGCCCGGGGCUCAACCCCGGGUCGGCCGUCGAUACUCUCGUGCUUGAGCACUGUAGAGGCAGGUGGAAUUCCGGGUGUAGCGGUGGAAUGCGUAGAUAUCGGAAGGAACAUCAGUGGCGAAAGCGACUUCCUGGACCAAUACUGACGCUCAUGUGCGAAAGCGUGGGGAGCAAACAGG
rnacentral:rRNA from 1 species